rnacentral:lncRNA from 1 species
AACAAAAAAAAAAAAAUGAAUUUCUUCAUUGCUCUAAAGCUACCUUCCAUAUGUGACCAAAGGUGAGCGGAAAUGGCCUGGCGAGUGUAGCCCUGGUGGGUGAGACACCACGGGCAGGGCAGGCAGGGGCGGGGAGGAGAAUCAGAGGCCCCUUCAAGGUAAUGUUGGGCUGUGGUAUGGUUUGUCCCCACCAAAACUCGUGGAGACCUGGUCCCCAGUGUGGCAACACUGGGAGCUGGGACCUUUAAGAGGUAAUGAGUUUUUUUUUUCUCUAGACUGAAUUAGAUCUUUUUACAAAAUGAGGCCCUCACCAGAAGCUAAGCAGAUGUCGGUGCCAUGCUUCCUAGACUUCUAAGCCUUCAGAACCAUGAGCUAAAUAAGCCUCUUUUCUUCAUAAAUUACUCAGCCUCAGGUAUUCUGUUACAGCAACAGAAAACACUAAGACGCUGUGCCAAUGCGCGAGUCCACGGCUCUUCACGGGACCUGGCAUGGGACGCACUGGCUCAGGGGCUCCAAGGCCACUCAGCUCUUCCUCAGCACAGUUUGGCUCAUCUCUCUGCUGACCAGCUUCCUACGCUUAGGGUUUCCAGUCCCCAAGACUUCCGUCCGUAAUGGACAUAAUGGUCUAUAAUGGCACCCAGCCCUAGUCCUCCUCCUGGACCAAUCAGUGCAGCCCCCAUAGCCACCAGGUCCAUCCCUCAGGUUCUAGAUUCCAAAUUCCAAAGAUGAGAAUCUGACCAGUCCCAGCUCUUUUGCCAGGGCACACGUUUCCAAGGGCAUGGGCCAGCCACUGGACAGGCCCUCUUCGGGUGAGCGAUGGCAAAAUAUAGGGUCCCUCCUAAGAACAGUCAUUAGGAGAGCAGCAGCUGUGAGGGCUGAUUAGCCUAGAAGGGAACAUUGGAUGUGUCAGCCAAUCCUCUAGCACAACAGAAUUAACAUAAAACAAGCAUUUUGGAUGAGGGAUACUCAACCUGCACUGUUACUCACUGGAGAGCGUCUGAGUGACCCACAGACUCACACCCCUUCUUACCCACCUCAUCUGCGGGGAGGCGGACCAGGACAUGUAGAGCAAGAUGAGGAAGAGCAGCACCACGAAGGCAGCCAGGCUCACCCAGAAUGCGAUCACGAUGGAAUCUGCGGGAGGAGGAGAUGCAUCUCAGCGCUGGGUUAUGUCAACAUAAAGCAACGCUGAGGGGCAGUAAGGAGUCCCAGGGUAUUGUGGAAUGAGGGCCCUGAGUUUCGGUUGUCCUCCAGCCUCUCAGCUGUUACCAUGGGGAAGAUCUCCCAUUAACAAUAACUUUGGGAAAGAACAGGGGAGCCAAGAAGUGUCUUUUUCCUCAGGGCAGCUGGCCACGGGGUCUGUUUAGGGUGAUUGUUAAGAGGAAACACUGAAUGGAAUUGUGUGCCCCCCCACCCCAUGCAUCUGCUUGCCCGGCUCCUAGUGGUGCUCAGAG